UCUUGAUUUAAAUGGUGGGACGGUUG
rnacentral:piRNA from 1 species